AUGCAUGAAGAAAAGGUGUGCAAGACUGCCUGUUCCAGUCGUCAGUAUGGUGACCUCAGCAGCAAACAGACUGUUACCAACAAGCUCCCCAGAGUGAAGACACCCACAUGCAGGUGGUCCCCUUGGAGCUACAACUGCAUGUCCCAACAGCACACACAUCUCCGAAGCAGUCCUCCUGGAUGCUACAGGCAGAGGCCGAGUUCCAAGUUUCCAAUUCUAGGCUUGCUUCACCAGGCCCGUGGCUUCUGCAAAGCUGCCCAAGAUGGAAAGUUCUGUCCCUUGGCGGAGCCAAACUGAGCCUUGCUGUGCUGCUUCUUCCUUACUUCAAGGAGCUUCCUGGUGCUCACGCAAGGGCCUGGCCAUGGGAGAGAUGGGGAAAGUAUACUCAGGAGCAUCCAGGCUCUUUCUCUUUGGCUGAGGACACAACUGGAGCAGGACCCAAGGGCAGGGGGAUUAGGAGAGGCUGCUGCCUCUGUCUGAGGCUGCCUCACAUUUCAGGCCCUCCCCAGAGUAAGCUCAGUCAGAUGUUAAUCCUGACCCUACCCUUGGCCAUUUUAGCCCAACCAACUG